rnacentral:tRNA from 1 species
GCCUGGGUGGCUCAGUGGGUUGAGCGUCUGGCUUCAGCCCAGGUCAUGAUCUUGUGGUUUGUGAGUUCAAUCCCCACAUCGGGCU